rnacentral:tmRNA from 1 species
GGGGGUGAACAGGGCUCGACCUAAGUAAGAGAGUAAAAGUAGCAUGCCGCGGAUGCUAAGUUGGCCGCGUUAUAAAACCUUAGCAAAAGACAAACGCCGACACUUUAGUUAACCGGCUACCAUUGACAACAAUGGUGCCGGCAGGCGUACAAGUCCCUAUCCUUAAUUAAGGUUAGGGCCUCAAGCUUAAGUUGCCUGUAGCUUAGGCUUGAGUUGCACAUACAGGCUGGUUCACAAGAUUUAGUCUUUGGUCUUGUGAACGAGAAUUUUAAAGGCGGCAGUUUAUCCUAUCCUGUCUAUCGGAGAGGAUAAACUUAAGUUUAAAAGAUAGGCUAAGCAUGUAGUGGCUUUUAUUCUUUUUACUUAGGGACCGGGGUUCGAUUCCCCGCACCUCCACCA